rnacentral:rRNA from 1 species
UUAGGAAUCUUCCCCAAUGGGCGCAAGCCUGAGGGAGCGACACUGCGUGAAGGACGAAGGUUUUCGGAUCGUAAACUUCUGAACGAGGGACGAAAAAUGACGGUACCUCGCUAAAAGCACCGGCUAACUCCGUGCCAGCAGCCGCGGUAAUACGGAGGGUGCAAGCGUUGUCCGGAUUUAUUGGGUUUAAAGGGUACGUAGGCGGGCUGUUAAGUCUGAGGUGAAAGCUCCUAGCUCAACUAGGAAAAUGCCUUGGAUACUGGCAGUCUUGAGUACAGUAGAGGUAGGCGGAAUUCAGGGUGUAGCGGUGAAAUGCAUAGAUACCCUGAGGAACACCGAUAGGGAAGCCAGCUUACUGGACUGUGACUGACGCUGAGGUACGAAAGCGUGGGGAGCGAACAGGAUUAGAUACCCCCGUAGUCC